rnacentral:rRNA from 1 species
UGGGGAAUUUUGGACAAUGGGCGAAAGCCUGAUCCAGCCAUGCCGCGUGCGGGAAGAAGGCCUUCGGGUUGUAAGCCGCUUUAGUCCGGGAAAAAGGGCUGACGUGCUAAUACCGCGUUGGUUUGAUGGUACUGGAAGAAUAAGCACCGGCUAACUACGUGCCAGCAGCCGCGCUAAUACGUAGGGUGCGAGCGUUAAUCGGAAUUACUGGGCGUAAAGCGUGCGCAGGCGGUCUUGUAAGACAGUCGCGAAAGCCCCGGGCUUAACCUGGGAACUGCGAUUGUGACUGCAAGGCUAGAGUGUGUCGGAGGGGGGUGGAAUUCCACGUGUAGCAGUGAAGUGCGUAGAGAGGUGGAGGAACAGCGGUGACGAAGGCAGCCCCCUGGGAUAACGCUGACGCUCAAGCACAGAAGCGUGGGGAGCAAACA